rnacentral:rRNA from 1 species
CCUACGGGAGGCAGCAGUGGGGAAUAUUGCGCAAUGGGCGAAAGCCUGACGCAGCCACGCCGCGUGAGUGAUGAAGGCCUUCGGGUUGUAAAGCUCUGUCGGGAGGGACGCGGUACCUCGCAAGAAAGCACCGGCUAACUCUGUGCCAGCAGCCGCGGUAAUACAGAGGGUGCAAGCGUUGCUCGGAUUUACUGGGCGUAAAGCGUACGCAGACGGUAAGGAAGGUCGAAUGUGAAAGCCCCGGGCUCAACCCGGGAAAUGCAUCCGAAACCCCCUUGCUAGAGUAUGAGAGAGGGAAGCGGAAUUCCUGGUGUAGAGGUGAAAUUCGUAGAUAUCAGGAGGAACAUCGGCGGCGAAGGCGGCUUCCUGGCUCAUACUGACGUUCAGGUACGAAAGCGUGGGUAGCAAACAGGAUUAGAUACCCUAGUAGUC